GGGAAUCUUCCACAAUGGACGCAAGUCUGAUGGAGCAACGCCGCGUGAGUGAAGAAGGCUUUCGGGUCGUAAAACUCUGUUAUUGAAGAAGAACGUGUGUGACAGUAACUGGUCAUGCAGUGACGGUAUUCAAUCAGAAAGUCACGGCUAACUACGUGCCAGCAGCCGCGGUAAUACGUAGGUGGCAAGCGUUGUCCGGAUUUAUUGGGCGUAAAGCGAGUGCAGGCGGUCUUUUAAGUCUGAUGUGAAAGCCUUCGGCUUAACCGAAGAAGGGCAUCGGAAACUGGGAGACUUGAGUGCAGAAGAGGAGAGUGGAACUCCAUGUGUAGCGGUGAAAUGCGUAGAUAUAUGGAAGAACACCAGUGGCGAAGGCGGCUCUCUGGUCUGUAACUGACGCUGAGGCUCGAAAGCGUGGGUAGCAAACAGGAUUAGAUACCCUGGUAGUCCACGCCGUAAA
rnacentral:rRNA from 1 species